rnacentral:tmRNA from 1 species
GGGGGUGCAACGGUUUCGACGGGGGCACGGAACGAAGAGACUGCGUGUCGCGGAUCCCAGGCCCCCGCGUCAAAACGACCUGGGAAACCACAGCUGCCAACGACAGCAACUACGGCCGUAUGGCCCUCGUCGCCUAAGAACCGACGACGCGUGCAGGUGAGGAGCUCGAGUAGCCUGCACGCGUGGACACACGAGCUGGUCGUCACGAGUGUCGCGGCGUGACGGCAAGAUCAAGCGGCUGGGCGAAGGGAUCGCUUGCCUGUAGGCGUGCCCCGAGCCGAGAUAAAAUCUGCAGGACACACACGUGAAGAGGUCCUGUGCGAAGGCCUUCGGACCCGGGUUCGACUCCCGGCGCCUCCACUG